rnacentral:lncRNA from 1 species
GUUAGGGAUAAAAACCCCUGCCCUACCUGGCUAGGUGUGCUCUUGUGAUUGUGACUGACACAGGCAGCACCCUUUUGCAGAAGUAGAUGUGCGUUGCUGAGAAAUUUUCUGCCUAAGUUCUGGUUUUCUUUGCAGCACCCAGCAUUUGUUUCUAACACAGGGAAAGAGUGAGCUGGAGAAACCUCUCAAAUUCAAGAAAGCGUAAAGCAAAUUGAACAAUACGGGUGAGGAGCACGGACUAUUCUCUCAUGUUGAAUGUGGCACUUUUUACAUACAAGCAGGAGAGCAACUACACCAAGAUUUUGGAAAACAUGUUAUGUAAGUUUUUAUUUUUAAAAUCAGGAGAGAAUUUCUGCAACAUCCUAUGACCACAGAUCCCUACCCAUCUGCAUUGGGGCACUUACAGAUCACCUUCUCUUCUGAACUUUGUAUGAAGUGACCAUGUCCCUCCUAUCCCUUUCCAUGUGCACAAGAUCAUGUCAUCUCUAGCUUAUUCAAAGACAUUGCCUUAGCAAUCUGCCCUUGCCUUCUGUUUCAUCAGUUUCUAAGCAACAACUAGAAAGGCCAAAGCCUUACAGGACCAGUCUGGCCAAGGCAUAGCUACAGCAUCUUUCUCAUCUGUCUAGCAGACAGUUUCUAUUAGAUCAUUCCCACAAGUACAUACAAGCAGACUUACAUUUCUCACCUCACACUUUAUAAAAAACAAACAACUCCCCAGGCACCCACUUCUCCUCUCCAGGUACAGCCCCUUUGUUAUCCUUUCCUCUACAACUAAACUUCUUAAGAGAAAUUUCUAUACUAGCUGUUUCCUAGUUCUUCCUCAUUUUCUCUUGUGACUUCACUCCAGUCAAUCCAAGAUAACCAUUGACCUUUCUGGUGUCAAAUCUAACAUUUAUUUUUCAGGCCAUAUCUUAUUUCAUCUUUCCACAACAUCUGAUACAGUUGAUUCCUCUACUUCACCUUCUUCACUUUGCUUGAAGGACACCACAGAAAUAGAACAUGGCCAGACUCAGAAGUGCCCCUGGGACCCUCUUCCAAUUACCAUCAUUUUCCUUCUCUCCAAGUUAAUUGUGACCUCUAUGAUGGGGAUAUGAUAAAGAAGAAAAGUACCUCACAGCGAUGAUUGGCAUGUGAUCACUUAGCCAAUGAGAUAAGAGGCUGUAGAAACGAUGUGAUAAUGACAUCUCCUGAGUUGCAGGUCCAUAUUAGAAGUGGAUAUGAAGUAAACAUUGAGCUUUCCUCACAUUUAAUUAACAAGCUUUAUUAUAGAUACAGCUCAAAUUAGUUAAUUCAGGAAGCUUAUUUUGUAGAAAUUAAAACAUUAAUAAACACAUACAUUUAGAAAUAAAGAACUCGGCUGACCCUUUGACUCUUUGAAACAAGUGGCCUUCCAUGCUGUGAAAGAUUGUAGCCACUCUUUGAGACAUUGGAAUGGUGUCCAUUGCAUUUUAUCAAGUUAACUAUAGGUCAGCCUGGGAAAUCUGAAGUUUCCUUAUCUCCUGUCACUGUGGUUGCUGUGAGAUUUUGUGUCAUCACUGUGCUGUCUUCCCUCUCCACAUGAAGGUGAGCUGUCUGGCUUCACUCUAACGUUUGUGAUUUCACGCCCGACCUGAUUGUUGCCAAGCAAUUCCUUUGUUUGGAGAAUUCUGUGCUUUGUUUAGAAUUUUUUAAAGGUUCUUUUCCUGUGGUCAGAUUUCUGUUUGCUACUGUGUCUUAUGCCUUGUUCUCCUACAGAGAAGAUUCUUUGAAGUUAGUGGAAGCUCAGCUUAAAGGAAGAUCUACUGCUCUGUGUGGUGGAUGACCAUGGGGGAGCGAGAAGGCAGCCUCCGGCUUUUGUUUUGUGUGUGUGUGUGUGUGUGUGUGUGUGUGAUGUACCUGGAAAAAUAACACGACUAGGAUUAAAGAGUAUGUUUGGCAUGUUUAAAAUAAAUUGUAAACCAAACGUAUUUUAAAGAAUUUAUACAAAUUUGUCAUUUAGUAAAAUGAAUGACUAUUGAGUAUUCAUGUCAAUAAAACAACCACUUGAAUACAACAA